GGGGUUGUGGCUCAGCAGUAGAGCACUCGCCUAGCAAGUGUGAGUCCCUGGGUUCAAUCCUCAGCACCA
rnacentral:tRNA from 1 species